rnacentral:rRNA from 1 species
CACGUAGGGCGCGAGCGUUGUCCGGAAUUAUUGGGCGUAAAGAGCUCGUAGGCGGCCUGUUGCGUCCGCUGUGAAAGCCCGGGGCUUAACCCCGGGUCGGCAGUGGAUACGGGCAGGCUAGAGGUAGGUAGGGGAGAAUGGAAUUCCGGGUGGAGCGGUGAAAUGCGUAGAGAUCCGGAGGAACACCGACGGCGUAGGCAGCGCCCUGGCUGUGAAUAAAGCUGACACUGAGGCACGAAAGCUGGGGGAGCAAACAGG